rnacentral:rRNA from 1 species
CCUACGGGAGGCAGCAGUGAGGAAUAUUGGUCAAUGGGCGGGAGCCUGAACCAGCCAAGUCGCGUGAGGGAAGACGGUCCUACGGAUUGUAAACCUCUUUUGCCGGGGAGCAACGGGGUCCUUGCGAGGGCCCGAUGAGAGUACCCGGAGAAAAAGCAUCGGCUAACUCCGUGCCAGCAGCCGCGGUAAUACGGAGGAUGCAAGCGUUAUCCGGAUUUAUUGGGUUUAAAGGGUGCGUAGGCGGGCUGUUAAGUCAGCGGUUAAAUGCCGGGGCUCAACCCCGGCCCGCCGUGGAAACUGGCAACCUAGAGUUGGAUAGAGGUAAGCGGAAUGCGAGGUGAAGCGGUGAAAUGCGUAGAUAUAUGGAAGAACACCGAAGGCGAAGGCAGCUUACU